rnacentral:rRNA from 1 species
AGUGAACGCUGGCGGCAGGCCUAACACAUGCAAGUCGAACGGCAGCACGGCAGUAGCAAUACUGUGGGUGGCGAGUGGCGGACGGGUGAGGAAUACAUCGGGAUCUACCCUGUUGUGGGGGAUAACGUAGGGAAACUUACGCUAAUACCGCAUAAGAACUGAGGUUGAAAGCGGCGGACCGCAAGGCGUCGCGCGAUUGGAUGAACCGAUGUCCGAUUAGCUAGUUGGCGGGGUAAAGGCCCACCAAGGCGACGAUCGGUAGCUGGUCUGAGAGGACGACCAGCCACACUGGAACUGAGACACGGUCCAGACUCCUACGGGAGGCAGCAGUGGGGAAUAUUGGACAAUGGGCGCAAGCCUGAUCCAGCCAUGCCGCGUGGGUGAAGAAGGCCUC